AAAUUAGCUAGGUCUCUAUUUUGCCAAGGAGAUUCAAGAAGGAACACGAAGAUAAAGAGGAACAUGAUUGCGAGUAUUUGGAGGUGAGUCCCAAAUAGAGAAUGCACUGCUGGAGUUCAUCCAUUUCUUUGUGAUUUCAGGGUAAUGUCGGUCUACCACAUCUUUCAAGCUCUCUGUUGUAUUUACCCGUUCGAAUCCCUUCUUUGUAUAUGUCUCCUUUGCUUGUAAAGAACAUGUCUGCCUCUAGCCUCUUGUGUCAGUACCCCAUCCAAACAUAUAGAAACACUCAUUAUUUUAGUUGCAUAACUUUUGUGUUUGCCUAAAUUUUACUAUCCUUAAUUCAAGCUAAUGUAAGUGCAAGGUGAAUUUCAUGAUUUGAAACAAGGAUCUUACUUCUUCACCAA